ACCCAAUUCCCUUAAAAAAAAAUUCCCAAAAAGUAGGAUUCAAUCAAGGUCGGAGACGUUGUCUCCAAAAAAAUGAGCAGAAUAGCAGAACAAUUGCAUCAGAAACAGGGCAGUGUUGAGGAUCUCAGGAGCCAUAUUAUUUUAGAACUUGCCAAUAAAAGAAGCACCCUGUCUGUCCUUCAAGUACCAAAAACCGUGCAACAAAAUACCCUGAAGCCUUACCAGGUACCAAACGUUGGUGCUAAUGCAAAUCUAAGGAAACAAAACCUUAAGAAAUGGAAGAGAUGGUUAACUGUCAAGAGAUGAUAGUGACCAAAAAAAGUGCACUUUUUAACUUUUCUCACUCUCCUAUCAACCUCUUUCCGGUGCACCUACAACAUUUUUGUCCCUUUUUUUUAACCUUUUAUGUACAGAGACUGUAGAGUGAAAAGGCACCGAGUGCCUGCCACAUGUUCCACAUGGAAAACCCAAAAAAAAAAAA
rnacentral:misc_RNA from 1 species